CCAUGGCUCAGUGGUAGAGCAUCUCCUUUGCAUACAAGAGAUUCCAGGUUCAAUCCCCCGUUGAACGG
rnacentral:tRNA from 1 species